rnacentral:rRNA from 1 species
UACGUAGGGUGCGAGCGUUUAAUCGGAAUUACUGGGCGUAAAGCGUGCGCAGGCGGUCUGUUAAGACCGAUGUGAAAUCCCGGGACUUAACCUGGGAACUGCAUUGGUGACUGGCAGGCUUUGGAGUGUGGCAGAGGGAGGUAGAAUUCCACGUGUAGCAGUGAAAUGCGUAGAGAUGUGGAGGAAUACCGAUGGCGAAGGCAGCCUCCUGGGCCAACACUGACGCUCAUGCACGAAAGCGUGGGGAGCAAACAGGA